rnacentral:rRNA from 1 species
UGGGGAAUAUUGGACAAUGGGCGCAAGCCUGAUCCAGCCAUGCCGCGUGAGUGAUGAAGGCCCUAGGGUUGUAAAGCUCUUUCACCGGUGAAGAUAAUGACGGUAACCGGAGAAGAAGCCCCGGCUAACUUCGUGCCAGCAGCCGCGGUAAUACGAAGGGGGCUAGCGUUGUUCGGAAUUACUGGGCGUAAAGCGCACGUAGGCGGACAUUUAAGUCAGGGGUGAAAUCCCGGGGCUCAACCCCGGAACUGCCUUUGAUACUGGGUGUCUAGAGUUCGAGAGAGGUGAGUGGAAUUCCGAGUGUAGAGGUGAAAUUCGUAGAUAUUCGGAGGAACACCAGUGGCGAAGGCGGCUCACUGGCUCGAUACUGACGCUGAGGUGCGAAAGCGUGGGGAGCAAAACAGGAUUAGAUACCCUGGUAGUCCACGCCGUAAAACGAUGGAAGCCAGCUGUCGGCAAGUUUACUUGUCGGUGGCGCAGCUAACGCAUUAAGCUUCCCGCCUGGGGAGUACGGUCGCAAGAUUAAAACUCAAAGGAAUUGACGGGGGUCAUAGCUGUUUCCUG